rnacentral:rRNA from 1 species
AACGAACGCUGGCGGCAUGCCUAACACAUGCAAGUCGAACGAGACCUUCGGGUCUAGUGGCGCACGGGUGCGUAACGCGUGGGAACCUGCCCUUAGGUUCGGAAUAACUCCCCGAAAGGGGUGCUAAUACCGGAUAAUGUCUUCGGACCAAAGAUUUAUCGCCUUUGGAUGGGCCCGCGUUGGAUUAGCUAGUUGGUAGGGUAAAAGCCUACCAAGGCGACGAUCCAUAGCUGGUCUGAGAGGAUGAUCAGCCACACUGGGACUGAGACACGGCCCAGACUCCUACGGGAGGCAGCAGUGGGGAAUAUUGGACAAUGGGCGAAAGCCUGAUCCAGCAAUGCCGCGUGAGUGAUGAAGGCCUUAGGGUUGUAAAGCUCUUUUAACCGGGACGAUAAUGACAGUACCGGGAGAAUAAGCUCCGGCUAACUCCGUG